UCCUCUCAAAGGGCAGAGCUUCUGUCACUGUACAUGGUCAUUCACUUUAUGUGGAAAGAGAACUGACCUAAUAUCAGAAUAUAUAGAGAUCCAUGGGCAGGGGUGAGUGGCUUGAUUUAUUGAUCAGGGGCCUGGAACAAGUAAGAGUAGAAGAUUGGGGACAGAAAUUCUGGGGAAGAGGCAUGCGUAUGGACCCACAGGAGUCGUUACCAGGUGUAAAGAUCUUUGUGUCGCAGUGAACACCAAGCAGAGAACAUCCAUCGUAGAAGAGGCACCACAACACAAAGUAGAAGAAAAUGACUUGGCCAGUUAAAGUCAACUAGCCUCUGUCCAUGGCCAUCCCAGCACUCAAACAGUGGAGUUAUGAAUGUAGUAGCUAUGGUGGCCAUGGUAAAUGCUAGACCUGGGCACAGCAGUGUGGGCUCCCACUCACAAAGCUUGAUCCAGCUACUGCCACUGCCAAAACAGAGUUCAGCGCUGAGCCUCCAAUUUGGCAUCAGCAUUGAAGGAAACCAACCAGUCAUUUCUUGGCAAGUGGAUUACAUUGGACCCUUUUCAAACCAAAAUCUGGAAAGGGCUCAAUUCGUUGACAGGACAGAUCAAUUCGUUUGACAUAUUCUGGGUGUGAGUUUGAUUCUCUUGCCCACAGUGCCUGAGCUAGCCGUACUAUCCAAGAGUUCACAUACUGUCUGACCCGUCAGCAUUGGAUCUUCCAUAGCAUCACAACAGACCACGGGACCCACUUUAAAGCAAAGAUGUGUCAGUGGACAUAAGACCAUGGGAUCCACUGGCCCUAUCAUAUACCACACCAUCCGGAAGCUGCCAGCCUGAUGGAUCCGUGGAAGAGUCUUUUGAAGACAUAGCUAAGAUAAUGCUCCUAUGCUUCCUUAGAGAGCCACCUGCACAAAUCUCCAUCGUUGUUUCCCAGAGAACCCGAUGGAUAGCAAUGGACAUUUACAGACAGGAAGGGUCUCACUUUAUCGCCCAGGCUGGAGUGUAGUGGCAUAAUCA